ensembl:lncRNA
UGAAGACACAGACACAGAAGAAAGAUGGCCAUGUGAAUUUAGAGGUAGAGACUGGAGUUAUGCUGCCACAAGCCAAAGACACCUGGGGCUACCAGAAGCUGGAAGAGGCAAGGAAGGGUCAUUCUCUAGAGACUUUGGAAGAAGUUGACCCUGCCAGCAUCUUGAUUUUGGACUGCUAGCCUCCAGAACUGUGAGAGAAUAAAUUUCUAUUGUUUAAGCCACUAGUCUGUGGCAGCCAUAGUAAACGAAUAAAAUAGGUUUCAAGAAUUAGGAUGUGGGCAUUGUUAGGAGCUAUUAUUCUACCAACCACACCACAGACUCAAGAAGUUCAAGAAACCCCAAGCCCAAGAAACUUGAAGAAAAGUACACCAAGGCACAUCAUAAUUAAGUUGUUGAAAAUCACCGAUAAAAACAAAAGGUCUAGAAGCAGUCAGAGCAAAGAGACACCUUACAUACAGAGGAACAAAGGAGUACAUUCUAGAAGCAGAUUCUAAUCAGAAACAAUGCCAGUGAGAAGUGAUUAGAACAAUAUCUUAAAAGUCCUGAAAGAUAAAAACUAUCAACCUUGAAUUCUAUACCCAGCAAAAAUAUCCUUUGAAAGUGAAUGCAGAUAGACAUUUUCAGACGUACAAAAGCUGAAAACAUUCAUCACCAGCAGACCACAGCUAGAAGAAAUGUUUAAGUCUUUCAGGUGGAAAGAAAAUGAUCCUAGAUGGAAAUCUGGAUCUACAUUAAGGAUGGAAGAACACCAGAAAUGGUAACUACACAGGUAACUUUGGAAACCAAAUGUUGAAGAUGCUGAAGACUCAAGAUGGAAAGAACCUUGGUCUUUGAAUAACCUUUUGGUGGAGAUCUGCCAGCUAAUCAGAAAUGCCCGCAUCGUAUUGUUACAUGAGCAAGAAAUAAGCAUCUGUUAUAUGAAGUCCCUGAGAUCUGGGGGGUUUGAUUUGUUAUUGCAACUAGCACGACCUUACCCAUUGCAGAUUGUCAUUUUUGUUUUCUGUGUUUAUAUUUCCUGCUAUACUGUGGCCCCUGGAGGAAUAGGGACCAUGAUAAACCUGCUCUUUGUAUUUGUUCCAGAGCUUAGUGCAAUACUUGGUGAAUAUUAGGUUCUCCAUAAAUACUUCUUAAAUAUAAGUGAGUGAUUGAAAUUGUUCCUAUGUGUUUGGAGCCUAGAGAUUUUCUUCCCCUGGGGUGGGUAACUCAAUGCCAAGCUGGAGCUCCCCAGAACACUCAGUGUUGGCUGCCUGUCUCAUGUUCUUCCUCCUUUUUCUUUCCUCAUGUUUGCCCUCCCUUCUCAUUGCUCUCUGUGUCCUGCCUUUAUUCAGAACCACACCUGUGGGCCACUAUCAGAGAUGUUUUUAUGGAAGUAACUCUCUUUAAUUCAGAUUCCACUGGAAGGGAAUCCAGAAUAGAAAAGACGUGGGCUGUGCUUAUUUUGCCUUUGCUUUCUUACCAAAACAUAUCAACAAAAAAGUCAACCCACUGAACACCACCACCACUCAGAACCGAGCAUAUACAAAUGGAUCCCAGGGAGGAACAUGGAGAUUACUGGAAAGAAUAAACCUUGAAAGGAUUCUUCCAGUGACAGAAGUUUAAAUAUCUUUACAUAUAAACAAUAGACUAAUUACAAGAUCAUACGUAAUUAAAGUAGAUAUCAGGUCCACUGCUGGGAAAAGCAUAUUUUGCUAUAUCUUAGCAUAUGUUCCUAUAAAAUAAUUCCAUCAAAAAUGUUUUCUUUUCUUUUUUUAAAUGUUUUCCUUCCUCUUCUCCCUAAGGCCCCCUAGUACAUAGCUGUAUAUGCUAGUUGUGAGUGCCUCUGUUUGUGCCAUGUGGGACGCCACCUCAGCAUGGCCUGAUGAGUGGUGCCAUGUCUGCGCCUGGGAUCCAAACCAGCGAAACCCUGGCCCGAUGAAGCGGAGCACGCGAACUUAACCACUGGGCCACGGGGCUGGCCCCCAAAAUGUUUUCUAAUUCAGACUUUCACCAAAUUGGACUAGUCCUCUUAAACAACAAGAGGCAUCAAUGAGGGGCUCCCUGCACUAAGUAACUGUUAGCUGACAGCUGGGUGCCUCUUGUAGAUAUUCUUGUGGUCCUUAGAGGUAAGAAUGGAAAUGUUCCAACACAUACAAUUUUCUGGGUUCUAGGUAACCUUCCUAGUGUUUUUCAAGUAAUAACAAAAGCUUACAGCCAAGUUUCAUUUCAGUUGUGCUUUUUCUUAAUUACUUGCUGACAGGUUUACUACUCUGUUUAAAGCAAAUGGGUGCCAUACUAUUUCUCAGAACAUUUUUGCUCUUUGUCUUGCCUAACUUAUGCUAAAGAGUUUGUUUCUACAGUGCUCAUUCUCAUGCUUCAUAUACAUCCUUAGAAAUGUAUCUAGGCCUCCUUCAUUAUACUCUGCAAAUACAUUCUAGCAAAGUUUAUUAUAAAGCAAACAUUAUUUUCCAUUAAUAUCUGGAGAUUUAUUCAUCUGGAGAAUAUCCUCCCCAUAGAUUGAGUUGAAAAAUUCUGGCAGAUGUUUGUUGAAAGGGCGCCUAACUGCAUGAUGUAAAGUGGGACUGUAGGAAUUGUGUGCUUCCUGGAGUUUGCAGUCUGCACUUAAACCAUGCCCACGCGGAUUACGUCGCCUUUCUCAAUUCUAUUGCCCCUCAACCUCCAUCCUUUCUUAGCCCAUGAUAGGCCCAGGCAUUUAUACAAUAUCUAGAAAUUCCUGAUUGCGUGCUCAGUUCUCUGAAACUCUGUUUCCCUUUUCCUUUGGUUUGGUUAUUCAGUGUCCCUUCAAGCUGGGCUGUGAUGUUGUGCCUCCACAGAACAUGUCACUGUCAGAUAAGUGAAAGAGUCCUGUCUGCACACUUCCUAAAUCAGAGGUUUCAGAUUCCACAAAAUGCAAAUACAAUUUGAC